UGGCGGCGUGCCUAAUACAUGCAAGUCGGACGGAGGCAUCAGYGAUGGUGUCUUAGUGGCGAACGGGUGAGUAACGCGUUGGUGACCUGCCCCGAAGAGCGGGAUAACAGAUCGAAAGGUCUGCUAAUACCGCAUGAGCUCUCACGGGUUAGAGGGGUGAGAGGAAAGGCCGGAAGGCGCUUUGGGAGGGGCCUGCGUCCCAUCAGCUAGUUGGCGGGGUAAAAGCCCACCAAGGCGAUGACGGGUAGGGGGCCUGAGAGGGUGACCCCCCACAAUGGAACUGAAACACGGUCCAUACACCUACGGGUGGCAGCAGUAGGGAAUAUUGGGGAAUGGGCGAAAGCCUGACCCAGCAACGCCGCGUGCGCGAAGAAGGCCUUCGGGUUGUAAAGCGCUUUUCUCAGGGAUGAGGAAGGACAGUACCUGAGGAAGAAGUCUCGGCUAACUACGUGCCAGCAGCCGCGGUAACACGUAGGAGACGAGCGUUAUCCGGAUUUACUGGGUGUAAAGCGCGUGUAGGCGGCGAGGUAAGUUGGAUGUGAAAGCUCCCGGCUUAACUGGGAGAGGUCGUUCAAGACUGCCUGGCUAGAGUGCAGCAGAGGGGAGUGGAAUUCCGAGUGUAGCGGUAAAAUGCAUAGAUAUUCGGAAGAACACCAGUGGCGAAGGCGGCUCUCUGGGCUGCAACUGACGCUCAGACGCGAAAGCUAGGGGAGCGAACGGGAUUAGAGACCCCGGUAGUCCUAGCCGUAAACGAUGUGAACUAGGCGUAGGCGGGUUGAAAUCCGUCUGUGCCGGAGCAAACGCGAUAAGUUCACCACCUGGGGACUACGGCCGCAAGGUUAAAACUCAAAGGAAUUGACGGGGGCCCG
rnacentral:rRNA from 1 species